rnacentral:rRNA from 1 species
UACGUAGGGUGCAAGCGUUAAUCGGAAUUACUGGGCGUAAAGCGUGCGCAGGCGGUUUUGUAAGUCUGUCGUGAAAUCCCCGGGCUCAACCUGGGAAUUGCGAUGGAGACUGCAAGGCUAGAAUCUGGCAGAGGGGGGUAGAAUUCCACGUGUAGCAGUGAAAUGCGUAGAGAUGUGGAGGAACACCGAUGGCGAAGGCAGCCCCCUGGGUAGAUACUGACGCUGAGGUGCGAAAGCGUGGGGAGCAAGCAGG